GACGAACGCUGGCGGCGUGCUUAACACAUGCAAGUCGAGCGGUAAGGCCCUUUCGGGGGUACGACGAGCGGCGAACGGGUGAGUAACACGUGGGUGACCUGCCCUCCAGCUCUGGGAUAAGCCGUGGGAAACCGGGUCGUAAUACCGGAUAUGACUCCAUGACGCAUGUUGUGGGGUGGAAAGCCUUGUGCGGCUGAGGAUGGGCCCGCGGCCUAUCAGCUUGUUGGUGGGGUGAUGGCCUACCAAGGCGACGACGGGUAGCCGGCCU
rnacentral:rRNA from 1 species